rnacentral:snRNA from 1 species
AUCAAGAAGGGGUCAGGGAAACACCAUGAUCACGAAGGUCGUUCUUCCAGGGCAAACCUUAUAUCUAUUGCCCUCCAGAGUUGCUGACCCCUGCGACUUCCCCAAACGUGGGAAAGAAACGCAAUUGCAUAAUUUGUGGUGGCAGCAAAUGUGUUUGAGCUUUCCCCUG